GGCCGGGUCCUGUGCAACGGACGCCUGUGAACCGGGUCAGGGCCGGAAGGCAGCAGCUCUCAGCAGUACCGCCCGGGUGCCGCAGACAGCCUGGCCGUC
rnacentral:SRP_RNA from 1 species